rnacentral:rRNA from 1 species
AGGGAAUCUUCCGCAAUGGACGAAAGUCUGACGGAGCAACGCCGCGUGAGUGAAGAAGGUCUUCGGAUCGUAAAACUCUGUUGUUAGGGAAGAACAAGUACCGUUCGAAUAGGGCGGCACCUUGACGGUACCUAACCAGAAAGCCACGGCUAACUACGUGCCAGCAGCCGCGGUAAUACGUAGGGGGCAAGCGUUGUCCGGAAUUAUUGGGCGUAAAGCGCGCGCAGGCGGCUUACUAAGUCUGGUGUGAAAGCCCACGGCUCAACCGUGGAGGGUCAUUGGAAACUGGAAGACUUGAGUGCAGAAGAGGAGAGUGGAAUUCCACGUGUAGCGGUGAAAUGCGUAGAGAUGUGGAGGAACACCAGUGGCGAAGGCGACUCUCUGGUCUGUAACUGACGCUGAGGCGCGAAAGCGUGGGGAGCAAAC